GUGUCAGUAUGUCUGUGUGUGUUAGUAUAUCUGACACACACACAGACAGACAUGCUAACACACACAGACAUACUGACAC